rnacentral:rRNA from 1 species
CCUAUGGGCGGCUGCAGUGGGGAAUAUUGGACAAUGGGGGGAACCCUGAUCCAGCCAUGCCGCGUGUGUGAAGAAGGCCCUCGGGUUGUAAAGCACUUUCAGUGAGGAAGAACGCCUGGUGGUUAAUACCCAUCAGGAAAGACAUCACUCACAGAAGAAGCACCGGCUAACUCCGUGCCAGCAGCCGCGGUAAUACGGAGGGUGCGAGCGUUAAUCGGAAUUACUGGGCGUAAAGCGCGCGUAGGUGGCUUGAUAAGCCGGUUGUGAAAGCCCCGGGCUCAACCUGGGAACGGCAUCCGGAACUGUCAAGCUAGAGUGCAGGAGAGGAAGGUAGAAUUCCCGGUGUAGCGGUGAAAUGCGUAGAGAUCGGGAGGAAUACCAGUGGCGAAGGCGGCCUUCUGGACUGACACUGACACUGAGGUGCGAAAGCGUGGGUAGCAAACAGGAUUAGAUACCCCUGUAGUC